GACGAACGCUGGCGGCGUGCCUAAUACAUGCAAGUAGAACGCACAGUUUAUACCGUAGCUUGCUACACCAUAGACUGUGAGUUGCGAACGGGUGAGUAACGCGUAGGUAACCUGCCUGGUAGCGGGGGAUAACUAUUGGAAACGAUAGCUAAUACCGCAUAAUAUUAAUUAUUGCAUGAUAAUUAAUUGAAAGGUGCAAUUGCACCACUACCAGAUGGACCUGCGUUGUAUUAGCUAGUAGGUGAGGUAACGGCUCACCUAGGCGACGAUACAUAGCUGACCUGAGAAGGUGGUCGGCCACACUGGGACUGGGACACGGCCCAGACUCCUACGGGAGGCAGCAGUAGGGGAUCUUCGGCAAUGGACGAAAGUCUGACCGAACAACGCCGCGUGAGUGAAGAAGGUUUUCGGAUCGUAAAGCUCUGUUGUAAGGGAAGAACGGGUGUGAGAGUGGAAAGUUCACACUGUGACGGUAUCUUACCAGAAAGGGACGGCUAACUACGUG
rnacentral:rRNA from 1 species